AACCCCGUGUCUCUUUAUUCAUGUUUGUUUCUGUCCCAGUACUUGGUGGAUAGAGGGACUUCAUGAGAUUCAUAGUAAGAGUUGAGUCAAAUAACAAAAACAAAUGCCUGUAAUAAUAUUUAAAGGGAUCUCUCUGCUUAUUUGUUGGUGACUUUUUUCAUUACAAAAACUACCCUGGUUGCUCAUCUUUAUGGGUGUUGUGUCUGCGCAAUACUAUAAGGCCAUUGUUGAGCCAGCAAGAAGUCCCAGCUUCGAAAGAUACUCAUUUGUGAUCCCUGUGAGAGGAAUCGUGCAACUAAAAAUCUCGCCCAUCACUUGCCUCGGAAUCACAGGUGUACUCAGCGCUUAGAUAAAGAAGAGUUAAGAAAUCAUCAAUAGCGAGUCCAGUUUUGUCCCAGGCUUUUUCAGAUCCAGGCCAGCUGGCCUUGGUGGAAUAUGGGUGUGGGACCUGCAAAGGCCUCAGUUACUACCACCAAGAGGCUGGUGAAGCAUCGUCUGGACCUGGUCUGGUUUACUGCAGAGAAGACUUUUCAACUCCAGGUGGUGGAACACACAGACA